CCUACGGGUGGCAGCAGUGAGGAAUAUUGGUCAAUGGGCGGGAGCCUGAACCAGCCAAGUCGCGUGAAGGAUGACUGCCCUAUGGGUUGUAAACUUCUUUUAUCAGGGAAUAAAGCGAGGCACGUGUGCCUUUUUGUAUGUACUUUAUGAAUAAGGCUCGGCUAACUCCGUGCCAGCAGCCGCGGUAAUACGGAGGAUCCGAGCGGUAUCCGGGUUUAUUGGGUUUAAAGGGAGCGUAGAUGGGUUGUUAAAUCAGUUGUGAAAGUUUGCGGCUCAACCGUAAAAUUGCAAUUGAUACUGGCAGUCUUGAGUACAGGUGAGGUAGGCGGAAUGCGUGGUGUAGCGGUGAAAUGCUUAGAUAUCACGAAGAACUCCGAUUGCGAAGGCAGCUUACUAAACUGCGACUGACAUUGAUGCUCGAAAGUGUGGGUAUCAAACAGGAUUAGAUACCCGAGUAGUC
rnacentral:rRNA from 1 species